rnacentral:rRNA from 1 species
AUUGAACGCUGGCGGCAGGCCUAACACAUGCAAGUCGAGCGGAGCGGCGGACGGGGGAGUAAUGCCAAGGAAUCGGCCAGGUCGUGGGGGAUAACGUUCGGAAAUGGGCGCGAAUACUGCAUACUAUUAGAUGAGGCUAGGUCGAAUUGGCUUGUGGGUGGGGUAAAGGCUUACCAAGGCGACGACCCCUAACUGGUCUGAGAGGAUGAUCAGCCACACUGGAACUGAGACACGGUCCAGACUCCUACGGGAGGCAGCAGUGGGGAAUAUUGGACAAUGGGCGAAAGCCUGAUGCAGCCAUGCCGCGUGUAUGAAGAAGGUCUUCGGAUUGUAAAGCACUUUAAGUGGGGAGGCGUUACCAGCAGAAGAAGCACCGGCUAACUUCGUGCCAGCAGCCGCGGUAAUUC